CAGGGCUUUCGUCUUGUAAUUGGAAUGAUGGUGAUGUACAACCUCACCAGAGUACCAAUUGGAGGGCAAGUCUGGUGCCAGCAGCCGCGGUAAUUCCAGCUCCAAUAGCGUAUAUUAAAUUUGUUGCAGUUAAAAAGCUCGUAGUUGAAUUUCUGCUGCAUUACAUUUCUCUUGUUUGAGUUUGUUAUUGUGGCUUAUUUCGGAUUGAUUUUUAUCAUUCCGGAUGAUUACUUUGAGAAAAUUAGAGUGCUCAAAGCAGGCUUUUGCCUUGAAUAGUUUAGCAUGGAAUAAUAGAGUAGGACUUUGGUUCUAUUUUGUUGGUUUUAGGUACCAAAGUAAUGGUUAGUAGGAACAGUUGGGGGCAUUCGUAUUUAACUGUCAGAGGUGAAAUUCUUAGAUUUGUUAAAGACGAACUACUGCGAAAGCAUUUGCCAAGGAUGUUUUCAUUAAUCAAGGAC
rnacentral:rRNA from 1 species